UUUGCUUCUCAGCCUUUUUGCUAAGAUCAAGUUUAGUAUCUGUUCUUAUCAGCGGCUUGGUCUUCGCCAAUGAUGCAGGAUGGGGGGGGGGGGGGGCUGGUUCAGAGGAAUCAGCUCGACGGCUGCACUGAUGUGCCCUGAUGUGACCUGUUUCCUCCAGGUCUCGCCAUGAGGCUGAGAGGGUCU